rnacentral:rRNA from 1 species
GAACUCUGGUAUUGAUUGGUGCUUGCAUCAUGAUUUACAUUUGAGUGAGUGGCGAACUGGUGAGUAACACGUGGGAAACCUGCCCAGAAGCGGGGGAUAACACCUGGAAACAGAUGCUAAUACCGCAUAACAACUUGGACCGCAUGGUCCGAGUUUGAAAGAUGGCUUCGGCUAUCACUUUUGGAUGGUCCCGCGGCGUAUUAGCUAGAUGGUGGGGUAACGGCUCACCAUGGCAAUGAUACGUAGCCGACCUGAGAGGGUAAUCGGCCACAUUGGGACUGAGACACGGCCCAAACUCCUACGGGAGGCAGCAGUAGGGAAUCUUCCACAAUGGACGAAAGUCUGAUGGAGCAACGCCGCGUGAGUGAAGAAGGGUUUCGGCUCGUAAAACUCUGUUGUUAAAGAAGAACAUAUCUGAGAGUAACUGUUCAGGUAUUGACGGUAUUUAACCAGAAAGCCACGGCUAACUACGUGCCAGCAGCCGCGGUAAUACGUAGGUGGCAAGCGUUGUCCGGAUUUAUUGGGCGUAAAGCGAGCGCAGGCGGUUUUUUAAGUCUGAUGUGAAAGCCUUCGGCUCAACCGAAGAAGUGCAUCGGAAACUGGGAAACUUGAGUGCAGAAGAGGACA